rnacentral:rRNA from 1 species
GACAGAGGCCCCGAGCGUUAGGCGGAAUCACUGGGCUUAAAGCGUGUGUAGGCGGGCCCGUAAGUGUCUUGUGAAAUCCCACGGCUCAACCGUGGAACUGCUGGGCAUACUGCGGGUCUUGGGCCAACUAGGGGCAGCCGGAACAAGCGGUGGAGCGGUGAAAUGUGUAGAUAUCGCUUGGAACGCCGAAGGUGAAAACAGGCUGCUGGGGUUGCGCCGACGCUGAGACACGAAAGCCAGGGGAGCAAACGGG